CUCUGUCUUCUGGUCUUCAGUAAUUUAAUUCCUCUACCGCAUGGAUGGUGGCUGGUCCCCCUUGAGCAUGAGAUUUCUCCUCUGUGUCUUCCCAAGGCAGCUUUAAACAGCAACAAAUUGGUCACACGAGCGAUGCCAAAACUUCAGGCCUCCGUGUCAAGAGUCAUGGACACUUUGCUCUUGAAAGAACCUGAUUUUGCAGGAUGCUCCGGUCUGAAUUUGUCGAUUUCCUCCAGACAAACCUUGGGCUGAUGACCUCUGAGGAGGAGGGAGCCUGCUCUGUGUAGAAGCAUCAGCAUUGACUGCAGGAUGCAAAGUAACAUCUGAAAUAUAAGGAAGACCUUCUAUCAAUGUGUGAUGAGGCCUUUCUGUUCCUAUAAUUAAAACAUUUAUGUGGUUGAGCUCCUCCUUUCAAAACACACCCCUGUGAUGACUACCAAACCCACUCCUUCAGAGGUCUGCAGACAGUUACCCAGGUAAUGAAGAAGGGCAGGGUGAAGGAGGAGGAAGAUUAAGCAUGGAUAAUAGAAAAUAUAUGUCAGUGACCCUGUGACUAUUCAGGGUGUUCAUCUUUUAUAAUAUGGGAAGUGUAUUUCCUUAGAGCACCAGGAAAAUGCUGGCAGGUGUGAGAUAAUCAAGCACUGGCCAUGUUCUUUAUAUUAUUUUACUGUUUUCUUCAUUAAAGCAUCCAUUUUCAACCAGCCAUAAUCAAAAGUGCUGCCACGUUGAUAUUCUUCCACAUAUAUUCUAAUUAUUCACUGGAUUUGGAGGUGGUCUUAACAUAAGUUAUGCUAUAUAAUCUAACAUGUAGUAUAUAUAUUUUUAAUAUAUAAUACAAGGGUAACACUGACCAGGAAGUGGAGAUGCUACAAAACUCUUUGCAAUGCAUCAGAAUGCAGCUCACAAUCAUUUUUGAAGCUCACUACACUGACAGUGGAAAAGACUUAUUUUCCUGUCAGUAGAGACACUCCUCUGCUGUGUCCAAAUCUCACAUUUUAUAUUGGCUCCUUUAUUCUUUCUAGAAAGGAA